rnacentral:rRNA from 1 species
GAUGAACGCUGGCGGCGUGCCUAAUACAUGCAAGUCGAGCGAACAGACGAGGAGCUUGCUCCUUUGACGUUAGCGGCGGACGGGUGAGUAACACGUAGGUAACCUACCUAUAAGACUGGGAUAACUUCGGGAAACCGGAGCUAAUACCGGAUAAUAUUUCGAACCGCAUGGUUCGAUAGUGAAAGAUGGCUUUGCUAUCACUUAUAGAUGGACCUGCGCCGUAUUAGCUAGUUGGUAAGGUAUCGGCUUACCAAGGCAACGAUACGUAGCCGACCUGAGAGGGGGAUCGGCCACACUGGAACUGAGACACGGUCCAGACUCCUACGGGAGGCAGCAGUAGGGAAUCUUCCGCAAUGGGCGAAAGCCUGACGGAGCAACGCCGCGUGAGUGAUGAAGGUCUUCGGAUCGUAAAACUCUGUUAUUAGGGAAGAACAAACGUGUAAGUAACUGUGCACGUCUUGACGGUACCUAAUCAGAAAGCCACGGCUAACUACGUG